rnacentral:rRNA from 1 species
GUGAGUAACACGUGGGCAACCUGCCUGUAAGAUCGGGAUAACGCCGGGAAACCGGGGCUAAUACCGGAUAGUUUUUUCCUCCGCAUGGAGGAAAAAGGAAAGACGGCUUUUGCUGUCACUUACAGAUGGGCCCGCGGCGCAUAGCUAGUUGGUGGGGUAACGGCUCACCAAGGCAACGAUGCGUAGCCGACCUGAGAGGGUGAUCGGCCACAUUGGGACUGAGACACGGCCCAAACUCCUACGGGAGGCAGCAGUAGGGAAUCUUCCGCAAUGGACGAAAGUCUGACGGAGCAACGCCGCGUGAGUGAAGAAGGCCUUCGGGUCGUAAAACUCUGUUGCCGGGGAAGAACAAGUGCCGUUCGAACAGGGCGGCGCCUUGACGGUACCCGGCCAGAAAGCCACGGCUAACUACGUGCCAGCAGCCGCGGUAAUACGUAGGUGGCAAGCGUUGUCCGGAAUUAUUGGGCGUAAAGCGCGCGCAGGCGGCUUCUUAAGUCUGAUGUGAAAUCUUGCGGCUCAACCGCAAGCGGUCAUUGGAAACUGGGAGGCUUGAGUGCAGAAGAGGAGAGUGGAAUUCCACGUGUAGCGGUGAAAUGCGUAGAGAUGUGGAGGAACACCAGUGGCGAAGGCGGCUCUCUGGUCUGUAACUGACGCUGAGGCGCGAAAGCGUGGGGAGCAAACAGGAUUAGAUACCCUGGUAGUCCACGCCGUAAACGAUGAGUGCUAAGUGUUAGAGGGUUUCCGCCCUUUAGUGCUGCAGCUAACGCAUUAAGCACUCCGCCUGGGGGAGUACGGCCGCAAGGCUGAAACUCAAAGGAAUUGACGGGGGCCGCACAAGCGG